rnacentral:rRNA from 1 species
UGGGGAAUUUUCCGCAAUGGGCGAAAGCCUGACGGAGCAAUACCGCGUGAGGGAGGAAGGCUUUUGGGUUGUAAACCUCUUUUAUUCGGGAAGAAGAUCUGACGGUACCGAAUGAAUCAGCAUCGGCUAACUCCGUGCCAGCAGCCGCGGUAAUACGGAGGAUGCAAGCGUUAUCCGGAUUUAUUGGGCGUAAAGCGUCCGCAGGUGGUUGUACAAGUCUGCUGUCAAAGCGCGGAGCUUAACUCCGUAAAGGCGGUGGAAACUGUUUGACUAGAGUCUGGUAGGGGUCACGGGAAUUCCCAGUGUAGCGGUGAAAUGCGUAGAUAUUGGGAAGAACACCGGUGGCGAAAGCGCGUGACUGGACCGGAACUGACACUGAGGGACGAAAGCUAGGGGAGCGAAAG